UACAUGUGGGGCAAGCGUUGUUCGGAAUUACUGGGCAUAAAGGGUGCGUAGGCGGCUUGUUAAGUCACUGGUGAAAGUUUUCGGCCCAACCGGAAAAUUGCCUGUGAUACUGGCGUGCUGGAGUGCGUGAGGGGUGGGGGGAACGAGCAGUGUAGCGGUGAAAUGCGUAGAUAUUGCUCGGAAGGCCGGAGGCGAAGGGGCCGCACUGGUACGUAACUGACGCUGAGGCACGAAAGCGUGGGGAGCAAACAGG
rnacentral:rRNA from 1 species